GAGGGUUUAGCUCAGCGGUAGUAGCGAAAGAUUGCAAAUCUUUAGGUCCCGUGUUCGAAUCACGGAAUCCUCU